AUGGGGUCGCAGCACCAUGGGGACCGGGAGGAGCUCGGCUCCGCUCGGGCGUUGCAGGCUGAUGGUGGAGGAGACGCGCGGGCGAGGUGGUUCCUAGUCACCGUAGAGGAAGCAGAGGACGGCGCGGGUCCUGCGACGAUGGAGAACGGCAAGGGCGGCGGAGGCCAUCCGGAUCUGGACGAGGGGCUCCUCCCCUGGCGACGGAAGGAGCGGCUCGGGGUCUUGGAUGGCGACGCGGGGCCUGACGGCAGCUUGGCGCGGGCUCCGGGGCCGUCGGAGUUGGCCAAGCUCGGGGACGAGCUCCCGGCGACGAGGCGCUGA
rnacentral:rRNA from 1 species